rnacentral:rRNA from 1 species
CGGUAGCUAAUACCGCAUAACGUCGCAAGACCAAAGAGGGGGACCUUCGGGCCUCUUGCCAUCGGAUGUGCCCAGAUGGGAUUAGCUUGUAGGUGAGGUAACGGCUCACCUAGGCGACGAUCCCUAGCUGGUCUGAGAGGAUGACCAGCCACACUGGAACUGAGACACGGUCCAGACUCCUACGGGAGGCAGCAGUGGGGAAUAUUGCACAAUGGGCGCAAGCCUGAUGCAGCCAUGCCGCGUGUAUGAAGAAGGCCUUCGGGUUGUAAAGUACUUUCAGCGGGGAGGAAGGGAGUGAGGUUAAUAACCUCAUUCAUUGACGUUACCCGCAGAAGAAGCACCGGCUAACUCCGUGCCAGCAGCCGCGGUAAUACGGAGGGUGCGAGCGUUAAUCGGAAUUACUGGGCGUAAAGCGCACGCAGGCGGUCUGUCAAGUCGGAUGUGAAAUCCCCGGGCUCAACCUGGGAACUGCAUUCGAAACUGGCAGGCUGGAGUCUUGUAGAGGGGGGUAGAAUUCCAGGUGUAGCGGUGAAAUGCGUAGAGAUCUGGAGGAAUACCGGUGGCGAAGGCGGCCCCCUGGACAAAGACUGACGCUCAGGUGCGAAAGCGUGGGGAGCAAACAGGAUUAGAUACCCUGGUAGUCCACGCUGUAAAC